UACGGGAGGCAGCAGUGGGGGAAUAUUGCACAAUGGGCGCAAGCCUGAUGCAGCCAUGCCGCGUGUAUGAAGAAGGCCUUCGGGUUGUAAAGUACUUUCAGUCGUGAGGAAGGUGUUAAGGUUAAUAACCUUAGCAAUUGACGUUAGCGACAGAAGAAGCACCGGCUAACUCCGUGCCAGCAGCCGCGGUAAUACGGAGGGUGCGAGCGUUAAUCGGAAUUACUGGGCGUAAAGGGCACGCAGGCGGUUAAUUAAGUUGGAUGUGAAAUCCCCGGGCUUAACCUGGGAAUGGCAUUCAAGACUGGUUAGCUAGAGUCUUGUAGAGGGGGUAGAAUUCCGAUGUGUAGCGGUGAAAUGCGUAGAGAUGUGGAGGAAUACCGGUGGCGAAGGCGGCCCCUGGACAAGACUGACGCUCA
rnacentral:rRNA from 1 species